UACGUAGGGGGGCAAGCGUUGUCCGGAUUUAUUGGGCGUAAAGAGCGUGUAGGCGGCUAUGCAGGUCCGUUGUGAAAACUCGAGGCUCAACCUCGAGACGCCGAUGGAAACCGCAUGGCUAGAGUCCGGAAGAGGAGAGUGGAAUUCCUGGUGUAGCGGUGAAAUGCGCAGAUAUCAGGAAGAACACCCGUGGCGAAGGCGGCUUUCUGGGACGGUACUGACGCUGAGACGCGAAAGCGUGGGGAGCGAACAGG
rnacentral:rRNA from 1 species